ACACCCCUCAAGCUCUGCUUGGUCUUGGGCUUCGCCGCGUCGCCGGCGGGCCCUAAUUAUAGUGGCGGCGCCGUUCGGCUCCUGAGCGUAGUAGCAACACCUCGCUAUAGGGACCGGGCGGCCGCUAGCCAGCAACCCAAUCUUCCAC
rnacentral:misc_RNA from 1 species